GGUUAAAUGGCUGAUAAUAGGUAAUAAAUUGUAAAUUUAUUUAUAGAUAUGAAUAUCUUUUAACC
rnacentral:tRNA from 1 species